AAGAGGAAACAGAAAGAAAGGAGAAAUGAAAAUGAAAAACAAACCGGAAAAAAUAAGGAAAGGGAAAGGAAAAGGAAGAAAAGAUAAAACACCCACGUAUUUCUUUUUGUCAUGUCAAUGAAAACCUUCAUGAUUCCCUUGUCCCGUGAGUUCUCAGCACAACGCACAACGCACAACGAAACCCUGAAGAAGUCGGAGUCCGGCCCCCUCAUUGGUGCCUUAACCAUGGCAACAAGUUGUCGGGUGUAUUGAUAUAUUUUUCUUCCUUCUUGGUUUGCGUAGGCCCACCGGCCGCCGAGGGGCGAAAGAGGAUGAAAAGGGCUCCGUGCAUGAAUCAGGUAUAUGUGUAGGAAAGGCAGCCAGCCAUUCAUGGAGAUCUUCAGGAAGAAUCAAAAUAUCAGCCACAUCCGCCGCUUCAGGCCCUGGAAAAAAAAAAAAAAAAAAAAAAAACUCGACGGCGAUACGCGGUUCCGCGCUUGGUGUUCGUCCCCGGCGCCCACAUCAUGGAGAUGGCCCUGCUGGAGACGACAACGCCACAGUGUGCUUCUAAAUAGCUCAUUGGAUCAAGACGUGGAAGGUGAGUGGAAAGCGACUGGAUUUGGGAGAUUGAAGUAUUCUUACUGUCGAGGGAGGUGAAGGUGUGGCGGUGUUAGUAUAUAUCAUAUGGUUUUUUCUACCUUGCUCAAAUUUUUCUUCCCUUUCUACAGGAGACGAUGAGCGUUCCGUGCUGUCACAUAGUUGGUCGGUGAAUUUGUUGAUAGAUACUACGGGUAUGAGCACAAUCUCAACUUUUUUUUUUUUUUCUCUGGAUGUUCGGCACAGUUAAGUUAGCCAAGAAACCGACUGGAAGACAAGAUGGCCGCUGAACAUAUUCCGUAUUAAAGAGUUUAAUUGUUCACGUUUUUUGACGAGGGCUUUGCUUUGGCUGAUUCUCAAGGUGUAUCUAAACAAAUUAAUCCUAUAAUCCUGUCCACAUCCCAUGCUCUUCUCAUGAUCAUGAGUAACUGAAGAUAAAAGUAACAGGAGCUGUUGUACCCUCUUAAAUAUUUUUUAAAAAAGCAAAUAGAGCAUGAAAUGAGAAGAUAGCCGGAAAAAAAAAAUGUGGGGCUCAUAAAUCUUUUUAUUUAUUUAUUUAUUCAUUUAUUUUUCGAUGCUCAGGAGUGAAGUGACGGACCACUGGUCGAGUGGCUCAAAAUAAGUUUAUUGGAAAUGGCAUACAUUGUACCAAAAAAAACACAGCCAGUCAAUUCAUCUAUCUCCUGGGCAUUCCCCUUCCUCUACCGCGCAGAACUCUUUGAGCAGCAUCUUGUGGCAGACCCCGCUGAGGCCCUUGUGGCGCCUGGGACUCUUCAUUUUUGAUAGUUUCAUCCACACUCAAAAUCAAACAUGCCGCCUCAACAGCAGCCUGGAUAGCAUUGACCUUGACAAGACUAGGCUCCCACACAAACGCCUCCAUAUUAUCCCUAACACCCUCAUUAUCAAAAUCAACUCCCGCCCACACAUUCCCUUUCCGGUGUUCCACGCGUAAUCGGUUAAGAAUAUCUGUUGCAUCGAAGCCAGCAUUAUCGCAGAGCUGGCGGGGGAUGACCUCCAGCGCCUUCGCAAACGCCUUGACGACCGCUUGCUGCUUAUGCGGCACGUUCUUAUCCGCGAAACUGUGCAGAUAGCCGGAGAGCUCCAUUUCCGUAGCACCACCACCGGCGACAAUGCUCGUGUUUCUCAGCGCGCGCUUGACAAUCAUGAUGGCGUCAUGGAGACUGCGUUCAGCCUCCGCGAUAAACUGUUCAGCACCGCCACGGAGGACGAGGGUGCAGGUUUUGGCGGCAGGGCAAUCGGAGAAGAUGUUGAAGCGCUCACUGCCAAUUUGGCGCUCUUCGAAGGUGCCACAGGUUCCUAAAUGGCGGUCUUGGAUGUCCGUACAUGUGGAUUGGGUGGAGGCGCCGGUGGCCUGGCAGACGCGCUCCAUGUCGUCGGAAGCGACACGGCCUGCACAGAAGAUGUCGCGGUCGGCGAAGUAU
rnacentral:sRNA from 1 species